UAUUAAAAAUUGCAUCUAGUUGUACCAUUAAAAAAUGUCUUGCUUGACAAAAUAAUCAAACAGUGACACGCCACAUUUAUAUCAUGCCAAUGUACAAGAAUCAAUUUUUAAUAGUAGAAAUGGAUAAAAACUUUAAUA
rfam:Gossypium hirsutum cultivar TM-1 chromosome 26, whole genome shotgun sequence